GUAAGGAAUAUUGGACAAUGGACGCAAGUCUGAUCCAGCCAUGCCGCGUGAAGGAUUAAGGUCCUCUGGAUUGUAAACUUCUUUUAUAAGGGACGAAAAAAGGCUUUUCUAAGUCGUCUGACGGUACCUUAUGAAUAGGCACCGGCUAACUCCGUGCCAGCAGCCGCGGUAAUACGGAGGGUGCAAGCGUUAUCCGGAUUCACUGGGUUUAAAGGGUGCGUAGGCGGGCAGGUAAGUCAGUGGUGAAAUCCUAGAGCUUAACUCUAGAACUGCCAUUGAUACUAUCUGUCUUGAAUAUUGUGGAGGUAAGCGGAAUAUGUCAUGUAGCGGUGAAAUGCUUAGAUAUGACAUAGAACACCUAUUGCGAAGGCAGCUUACUACGCAUAUAUUGACGCUGAGGCACGAAAGCGUGGGGAUCAAACAGGAUUAGAAACCCGUGUAGUCC
rnacentral:rRNA from 1 species